rnacentral:sRNA from 1 species
AGAGCUGGAGACUGAUGUGAACUUCAUCUCUCUCCCCAGAAAAGGCUCAACAUCAACUAUAUAGCCAACAUGUCCAAGGUGUUUAAGAAGACCAGCUCCAAUGGGAAGGUGAGAGAACCUGGCCCAGCUGGGCAAAUGAGAGGGCAAAAGGGAUAGGUGGGUACAUCCUUCAAGGUCUCAGGGGUCUGGGUUGGGGGCUUCAGGGGAAUCCAUUCAAAAAUGAUUGUGAGAAUAACAUGGGAAGUUGUUCCACAACAGCUCUCCAUCUACCUGGGGAAACGGGACUUCGUGGACCAUGUGGACACGGUGGAACCCAUUGGUCAGUGAGUCCAAAAAAGGGAAGCCUGGGGAAAGAGGAAUGGAAACUAGGGAGUAAAAGAAAGUCCAGGAAAGACCGUGCAGAAAAGGAGGCAAAUUAAAGGGAA